rnacentral:rRNA from 1 species
CUUUGAAAAGAGGGUGAAAAGAACCUGAAACCGUCAUGGGGGAAGCGGAUUGCGUUAGAUUGGUGGGUGCUUAUGUGUUCAGCCAUUGGGUGCAUUGACAUGAGUGCUUAACUGUUGUGGGUUUUUUAGAGUUGAAUUUGAAUUCUUUGAAGCUGAGGGCUCCCCAGUAAUGGGUUGAGGACAGCGGUGUAAUGACGCGAUACGACCCGUCUUGAAACACGGACCAAGGAGUCUAGCAUGGCUGCGAGUCAGAGGGUGCAAGCCUGAGGGCGGAGUGAAAGCGAGUGUGAAAACGAGCAGUUUGAGGCGGCAUAAAAUCGUUGAUUUUAGGACCGACCUAGAGCAGUUAUGCUGGGACCCGAAAGAUGGUGAACUAUGCCUGAAUAGGGCAAAGCCAGAAGAAAUUCUGGUGGAGGCUCGUAGCGGUGCUGACGUGCAAAUCGCUCGUAGAAUUUGGGUAUAGGGGCGAAAGACUAAUCGAACCAUCUAGUAGCUGGUUCCCUCCGAAGUUUCUCUCAGGAUAGCGGGCCGACAAUAGUUGUCUUGUGCGGUAAAGCGAAUGAUUAGCGUAUUUGGGGACGGUAUGUUUUCGGACGAUUCUCAAACUUUAAAUGCGCAAGGGUGUCGCUGCUUGGUUGAGCGGCACCGAUAGAAACGUCGGCCCUGUGGGCCACUUUUGGUAA